ACCGAGAUGGGGCAGUUGGUAGAGGGAGGAAGCGGAUAGGGAAGAGGAGGGAAAAAGAGAGAAAAAAAAAAAAAAAAAAGGAGAACAAAGAAAUCGCGAUCCAGAAGGUGGCUGUACUUCUUGGGCUGCGGGGGAAAACUUGAGGGCUGCCGGAGGAGCAGCCAGCAGACGGCUUUGUCUGAAAGGGCUUGCAAAAGCACCACCUAAUCCUGCUGCUCCCCUCCCAUGCUGAAGGGAAGGAGGGAUCCUGGGAGCCAGAGAGGGGGAACUGCCGGGGACUGCAGCGUCGCGGCGGCCGGGGGAGAGCUGAAGUUCCCCGCCGAGCGCUGGGGCUGGUGCUGGGUGUGGGCGCCCGCAGCCCGGGGCGGGGGGGUCCGGGCGGCCCCUGCCCUCGCUGCCCCGCACGCUCGGGGAUUACUGGGCGUUUCGAGCCAACAGCAAAACUAGCAAGAUUUCAAAGUGAAAUUCCGGAGGAAAUUUAAAGAGCAUCCGGAUCCGGAGAAAGAAAGAAAGAGGAAGGGAGAAAUAAAUCAAAACGUGGAGAGAAUCUCAGGCAGCUGAAGAAAGGACGGGAGAGAAAGAAGCUGACACCCAGGCAGAGAUGGGGAAAUGAAUCACUGUGGAGACAAAACCAAAAAGGAGCCUCAGUCCAGCUAGGAGACCUGAGAAGGAAGCUGUUGGAGGAGAGACGCGUACUAACUCCACUGGCCUGUAGUCUGUCUUACCCUUACUAACAAAUGUCAACAACUAGGGAGCAGCCAAUCUUCAGCACCAGGGCACAUGUUUUCCAGAUCGACCCUGCCACCAAACGGAACUGGAUCCCCGCCAGCAAGCACGCUUUAACUGUCUCCUAUUUCUACGAUGCCACACGCAAUGUGUACCGGAUCAUCAGCGUGGGGGGCACCAAGGCGAUCAUCAACAGCACUAUUACCCCCAACAUGACCUUCACAAAGACGUCCCAGAAAUUCGGACAAUGGGCAGACAGCCGAGCCAACACGGUGUAUGGAUUGGGCUUUGCUUCAGAGCAACAUCUGUCCCAGUUUGCAGAGAAGUUCCAGGAAGUGAAAGAAGCAGCCCGUUUGGCAAGGGAGAAGUCCCAGGAUAAAACAGAGCUGACCAAUCCUGCCCUGAAUAUCACAUCUCACCAGGUACUUCCCAGCCCCAUCAUCAGCUCCAAUGGGCCAGGAGAAGAUAAACUAUUCCGGAGCCAAAGUGCCGACGUCGAAAUAACAACAGAGAAGGAGAGGUUGAAGAAGAUGCUUUCAGAAGGUUCAGUGAGUGAGGUCCAGUGGGAGGCCGAAUUCUUCAGCCUCCAGGACAACAACAACAAGCUCGUGGCUGCUCUCCAUGAAGCCAAUGCCAAUGUGGACCAGUGGAAGAAGCAGCUGGCUGCUUAUCAGGAGGAGACGGAAACACUGCGGCAGCGGGUAGCAGAACUGGAGUCACAGGGGGCUCAUGAUUCCUCCAGCGAGAACAACAAGGAAGAGCUGAGCCAAACCCUGGAGGAGCUGGAACUACUGAUCAAGGCUAAAGACGAGGAGAUUCAGAUGCUAAAAAGCCAGAAGUGUGGCCGAUGGGAAGCAGAGGGUGAGCGUGAGGAGACACUGCAGAAGCUGCAGGAGCUGGAAACACGCAAUGCAGAGCUGGAGCAGCGUCUUCACCUAGCUGAGCAGACGCUGGCAGAGACCCUAGCCGAGAGGGAGAAGAUCCAGAAUGAGGUCACCAAGGUGGCAGAGAUAAUGGAUGUGAAGAUAUUUGAGCUCAGUGAGAUCCGGCAGGGACUAGCCAAGCUGGUAGAGAGCAACUGAGCAGCAGCACGCUCAGAGGAGACACCUCCGGAGGAGGGGAACCCCAGCUGGGACUGGUCACUGACAGCAAUUACGGUCACAGAACAGCCUCGAGGUCUGUUUGGGCAGGAUACGCCAACAUACCAGCAGCUGCCUGGACAGUGUGGAGACCAGCCGCAGCCACUUACUGCCCGCUGAACACCCAGACAGCGGGCAGAGAGGACCUGAGCUCCUGAAUCCUCUACAGGGAGCAUCUACGAGUCACAGCCAGACCUCUCUGGACCCUGUCAUGGCUGUGGCGUGGUCCAGAGACAGCAGCUGUCCCCGUGCUGCCUUCCCAGCCUCCCUGCUGCCACACUGUGUCUCCCACGUUUUUACAGUUUUCUAAGGGAAGGGGCUGAGCAGCCUUCGCGGUUUUUUCAGUAGUUUUUUAGGAAACCACUUGCCUUUUGCAACUAAGCUGCCUGUUUCCCUGCCUAGGGAGGGAGGGAGAAGUUCUAGCACACUGAGGACAACAGUUGCUCCUUCUCUUCCCCAGCCCUAACUACAUCGCGUCUUUCUAACAGGAUCCGGUAACACUGGUCACUGUCAGGAGCUUCCAGAGGUAGCAAUGUCCCCACUGCAGAGAAGGGCGCUUGCCUGCCCGUGUGUCCUUUCCACUGUUCAGUCACACCCUCCAGAGGAAAAAGAACUGCAGGUCUGCAGAAACUCCGGUACUUAGCAAGGCCUGGCUGCCAAGUACUGCCCUCUCCGCACCCAGCCGAACCUCGGCAGACCUGUGGGAAGGCGGUGCGGCUCCUCGGAGCCUGCCUCUCCUUUCACUCGCCUGGUGACCAUGAGAGGAACCCACAGCUUCCACGCGCUGCCUGCAAGUCAGGGCAGGAUUAGGUCUGGCACCUCGGGUAUCUGCUGGAGUGGAGAACUGCUGGUGACUCUGUGCUGGAUUGUGUCUAGGCAAAGCCCUUCCCUGUGCCAGGAGUGAUGAGGAAACAUUGAGAUUUCCAGACCUGCAUAGCCAUGGAAAGGAGCAGCCUUCUUUUGAAAUAGAGAUCAGCUCCAAGAAAGCAAGGUGUGAUUCUCUGCUCUGAGUCCAGACCUGAGACAAGGUCCUUCUGGCCAGCUCAGCAAGAGGAAAUGGAGCUUCGCUAUUGCAGGACGUGCCAAUAACAGAGCCUCAGAAAAAAGGAUGUGUCCAAUGCAAACUCCAUCUGACAUGCCAAUGCAGGCCUUCCAGGCUGAAGAGGAAUGCAAAUCCAGUCCAGACCUAGAGCUGACCUGGCAGUCAGAGUGGCAGACCACCAACAGCUCUGCCACUGCCUUGCUCUGCAAACUCCCUCGCCUCUCUGGGCUUUGAUUCCUCCUCUUUCACAAAGUAGAUAAUUACCCUCCCUGAAGGACUGUUGCGCUUCAAUUACUCACAUCUACAAGGUGCCUGGAGAGCCAAGAGAAGAAAAGGCUAGCGCAGGCCAGACUGGUUAAUAUCUUAAGUCCGUUGAGUGAUUUUGAACAAGAGAUUGUGGUGUGUAAAGGCAGUUUCUGCUCCGAGGGAAAAGAACAUGAGCUACAGCACUAAUCAUCUCUGCACAAGGUCCUACCUCCUCCGUCGGCUUCCCUCCACCCUACCAAAAAAGCAGCAGCUGCAAUAAUGCUGGAAAUGAGACACUUGUGGUAAGAGCAAGCGACACUUCAGACACAAGAGAUGUGGCAGCUCCAGAAACAGGUAAAACUUCACCACCCUGAAGGGGAGCGAGACAGACACACACUGCAGCAGUGAGGGAGGAACUGUCAUUCCUUUUCCACACUGACGGCAUUACACCAGCUACUGAUCAAAGUAUAGUUUAUACAGCAGCAACUCUCACCUUCCCUUCAAGGAUCAUUUGUUUCCGCUUAUUUAUUUCUUUCUUCUCAUCAAAAUCCAUUCCCUCCAGUUCCUGUAAAAGCAAAAACAUAGCAGGACAAUCAGUAACCAAGCACCAAGGCUGACCCAGAGAAAAGCAGUACAGCAGAACCCCACCAGCGUGCACACAUUUGGUAGCCUUCUCCCCAAAGUACCAGCCUCAACACUCAGCAGCAUAAAAAUGCUGCAAAAAUGUGCAAUAACAGACCAAACCUAGGGAAGAUAACUAA